GAGGGAGAUAAUAUUUCGAACUCUCCGCGACAUAAUACUUUCGAAACAUUUAGAUAAGCGAGAGCUUUUUCUCGGGACAUAUAACCGAUUUUUUUAUUCUUCUUCUCCCUUUCGUCGCGCGAGACAUUACAUAUAUAUAUAUUGUAUUUUUCUUUGCGUCGAGCCGCCGCCUCGAAAUUUCGAUAAAGCAAGUGUGUGCGCCAUAUUUAUAAAUAUAUACUGUGAAUCGAUACACAGAGCGUCGGGUUAUCAGUGAAACACCAGUCGCACUUGCGCUUUCUCGCGAGUCUGUGCAAACAGUUUCGGCCUUUUAUAUCCGUGAAAGCCGCGAUCGGGAAGCGAAGGAAAAAGGAAUAUAAAAAAAGUACUCACGGUGUGUAUACGCGUGUAAGAAGAAUCCCUGGCUAUUGAAGCUGACGCUUCCGAAGUUCCGAGCAGCCACGGCCGAACAGGUUCUCCGCGGGCCAGCUAUUCAUCCUGUGCUAUCACAGAAGCAUCGUCGUGAUCAUCAGCAGCAGCAGCGGUGUCAUACCGAUCUCCUGUG